GUGAAUCAUCAAAUUUUUGAACGCAAAUUGCGCUUCCUAGCAUCCCGGGAAGUAUGCCUGUUUGAGUGUCAGUAUUAACAAAAAAAUCGGUUUGGUUGUAAAUUGUUGCGUUUGCGGAGGUUGUUCGUAUCUUAACUUUUUUGGUUAAGGGGCUUAAAAUUGACCUUUUUUGCGCAUUUUUUUAUGUAUAUAUAUUUUUUGUUUUUCGUCUAUUCUUAAUGCCAAAAUCUUAUUAGAUGCGAUCACAUCGUGUUGCUUCGUGUCCAUAAAAUUUUCAUUAUUUGACCUCAAAUUA
rnacentral:misc_RNA from 1 species